AAAAGCAGCCAUAUCACUCUGCAACUCACUACUGGCAACCCACUGAAACUAAGUAGGUGUGAGCCUGGUCAGUACCUGGAUUGGAGACAUCCUGGGAAAAACUAAGGUUGCUGCUGGAA
rnacentral:rRNA from 1 species